CACCGCGGUUAUACGAGAGGCCCAAGUUGAUAACCCCUCGGCGUAAAGCGUGGUUAAUAGAACAUUAAACUAAAGCUGAACCCUCUCAGAGCUGUUAUACGUUAUUGAGAAUAAGAAGCCCCCCUACGAAAGUGGCUUUACUAGACUGAACCCACGAAAGCUGGGCC
rnacentral:rRNA from 1 species